GCGCUAUUUGGUGCUUACCAUUUAAUUUUAUGUGCAUGUAGCCUUAUAUUUUUAUUGCUGUUAUUCUAUGGGGGCAAUUUUAAGAAAUUCAAUGCAGAUUGCAAUAUUUGUCAAGGCAUUGUUGACCUUGCUAGGAUUUAAAAAAGGAAGAAAAAAAAAAGAAUUCAAAUUAAAGGCCAGAAUAUGCCUCUAAAAUUGUGAGUUAGGGUUGAACAGGUGAAUAUGGAAUAUACAACCAUUCAGAGACGGAGAGAGAGAGAGGAGGGAGGUCAAUAGGUAGAAGAAGGAAGAGA
rnacentral:misc_RNA from 1 species